GACGAACGCUGGCGGCGUGCCUAAUACAUGCAAGUUGAGCGCUGAAGGUUGGUACUUGUACCGACUGGAUGAGCAGCGAACGGGUGAGUAACGCGUGGGGAAUCUGCCUUUGAGCGGGGGACAACAUUUGGAAACGAAUGCUAAUACCGCAUAAAAACUUUAAACACAAGUUUUAAGUUUGAAAGAUGCAAUUGCAUCACUCAAAGAUGAUCCCGCGUUGUAUUAGCUAAUUGGUGAGGUAAAGGCUCACCAAGGCGAUGAUACAUAGCCGACCUGAGAGGGUGAUCGGUCACAUUGGGACUGAGACACGGCCCAAACUCCUACGGGAGGCAGCAGUAGGGAAUCUUCGGCAAUGGACGAAAGUCUGACCGAGCAACGCCGCGUGAGUGAAGAAGGUUUUCGGAUCGUAAAACUCUGUUGGUAGAGAAGAACGUUGGUGAGAGUGGAAAGCUCAUCAAGUGACGGUAACUACCCAGAAAGGGACGGCUAACUACGUGCCAGCAGCCGCCGUAA
rnacentral:rRNA from 1 species